rnacentral:rRNA from 1 species
CUUUUGACCUCGGAUCAGGUAGGGAUACCCGCUGAACUUAGGCAUAUCAAUAAGCGGAGGAAAAGAAACCAACAGGGAUUGCCCUAGUAACGGCGAGUGAAGCGGCAACAGCUCAAAUUUGAAAUCUGGCUCUUUUAGAGUCCGAGUUGUAAUUUGCAGAGGGCGCUUUGGCUUUGGCAGCGGUCCAAGUUCCUUGGAACAGGACGUCACAGAGGGUGAGAAUCCCGUACGUGGUCGCUGGCUAUUGCCGUGUAAAGCCCCUUCGACGAGUCGAGUUGUUUGGGAAUGCAGCUCUAAAUGGGAGGUACAUUUCUUCUAAAGCUAAAUAUUGGCCAGAGACCGAUAGCGCACAAGUAGAGUGAUCGAAAGAUGAAAAGCACUUUGGAAAGAGAGUCAAACAGCACGUGAAAUUGUUGAAAGGGAAGCGCUUGCAGCCAGACUUGCUUACAGUUGCUCAUCCGGGUUUCUACCCGGUGCACUCUUCUGUAGGCAGGCCAGCAUCAGUUUGGGCGGUAGGAUAAAGGUCUCUGUCACGUACCUCCUUUCGGGGAGGCCUUAUAGGGGAGACGACAUACUACCAGCCUGGACUGAGGUCCGCGCAUCUGCUAGGAUGCUGGCGUAAUGGCUGUAAGCGGCCCGUCUUGAAACACGGACCAAGGAGUCUAACAUCUAUGCGAGUGUUUGGGUGUCAAGCCCGAGCGCGUAAUGAAAGUGAACGGAGGUGGGAACCCGCAAGGGUGCACCAUCGACCGAUCCUGAUGUCUUCGGAAGGAUUUGAGUAAGAGCAUGGCUGUUGGGACCCGAAAGAUGGUGAACUAUGCUUGAAUAGGGUGAAGCCAGAGGAAACUCUGGUGGAGGCUCGCAGCGGUUCUGACGUGCAAAUCGAUCGUCAAAUUUGGGCAUAGGGGCGAAAGACUAAUCGAACUAUCUAGUAGCUGGUUCCUGCCGAAGUUU